rfam:Asian citrus Psyllid, Diaphorina citri - Florida Strain, whole genome shotgun sequence.
GCCUAGUUAGCUUGGUUGGUGAGCGUCUGCCUUGUAAGCGCUAGGCCGCGGGUUCGAAUCUCGCCCGAGGUC